rnacentral:rRNA from 1 species
UACGAAGGGGGCUAGCGUUGUUCGGAAUCACUGGGCGUAAAGGGCGCGUAGGCGGUCCGGCAAGUCGGGUGUGAAAGCCCUCGGCUUAACCGAGGAAGUGCAUUCGAAACUACCGGACUUGAAUACUGGAGAGGGUCGCGGAAUUCCCGGUGUAGAGGUGAAAUUCGUAGAUAUCGGGAGGAACACCAGUGGCGAAGGCGGCGACCUGGACAGAUAUUGACGCUGAGGUGCGAAAGCGUGGGGAGCAAACAGG